rnacentral:rRNA from 1 species
GACGAACCGUGCGAACGUUGUUCGGAAUCACUGGGCUUAAAGGGUGCGUAGGCGGGUUGUCCAGUCUGGGGUGAAAUCCCACGGCUCAACCGUGGAACUGCCUCAGAUACUGACGACCUCGAGGGAGGUAGGGGCGAGCGGAACUGUGGGUGGAGCGGUGAAAUGCGUUGAUAUCCACAGGAACUCCGGUGGCGAAGGCGGCUCGCUGGACCUCUUCUGACGCUGAGGCACGAAAGCUAGGGGAGCAAACCGG